UAUAUUGUCAAGUCACUGGGAUUCCCUAA
rnacentral:piRNA from 1 species